rnacentral:lncRNA from 1 species
CACCGUACAUGUGGUCAGUGGCAGAAUCCUUUAUAAAUGAAGAGAAUGGUCAAGAUGUGAAGGACAUUAGCACUGGAUUCUCCUAAGAGAUGCCUAACCCCCUAAGGUGGGUUUGAAAAGCCCAAGAAGAGUUUCCGAAGUACUCAGUGGAAUUCUAUCCUGAAGUCUUUGAAUGUGCAAAGCCUUGAAGGUGCAAAUAAAUUGGAUCGUGUGUCGACAUGAGAGCGCUAAUAACAGGUCUUGCAAGGUGUCCCAUGGUCUGAGAGUCAUGGGUAGCAGCCAGUGCUUUGUACCUAGUUUCUUGUUGUGAAGAUGUAUGUGAUGGAAACUGAUACUGAGCACAGAAAUGAUGGGAGUGGGAAAUGGUUUAGGAGAAGGUAAGGCUGAGAAAACCGUUCUGUAAUGCAUCAAGAUCAGGCAUGAGACCAACUCACUAAGCACAGUCCACUAAUCGCAGAUGUCUUUGGCCAUCAUUCAUUUCUUCUUGCUGUAUCCUUAAUGUGGGGUUUUCAGCCCUUCUUGGCUGGGAGAAAUCUCAUUUUGCAAAUCUUGGCUCCAAUGUCUUCUCCAUCUUUUCUGUGAGGGCUUCCCAUGUCACAGUGGUAACAAAAAAAUUCUCUUUUUGCUUCCAUGUCGUGGAACUUUGCUUACCUCAACUUAUUGAUUUUCAUAUUGUUUAAUGUUUUAGUUAAUUAGUUGGAUACCUUUCUCUCUUAAGAUUUUAUAAACUCUUUAGAUCUAGACUGUCAUCUCUAUAGCCCAUAUCAUCUAGUCUAGGGAUGCAUUUGCCUGUAAGCAACAGAAAUCUGCCUUAAGGUAACUUUACCAGGGAGUUUGCUUCCCUUACCUCAUAAGAAGCUUUGGUUAGGAGGCAGCUGAAGUCAUUGGUUCAGCAGCUCAGCAACGCCUAGACUAAAUCUCCAAAAUUGUCUUGGCAUUGCCGUCUUGGUCACAAGGUGGUAGCUGCUCAGCCAGCCUUUCUCUGCAUUCCAGGCAGAUAGGAAUAGGGUUCUGAAGAGACAAGCAGCAUUCCUUUAUAUCUCAUAGGUCAGAACUGAGUCACCUGGCAAUUCCUAUCUGUAGCAAAGGUAGGGGUGUUGAUUUUUUUCUUUUUUCUUUUUUUUUUUUGCAGACACUGUAGUAGUAAAUGGAAAAGGAAAGGAGAUUGGAUUGGAUUUUGAAUCUGCCAUCUGCCAAAGGCUAACAGCAUGCUGAGUGCUUGUGCUUGUGGAAGGACUUGACCAUUCAGCUGUGUUCAAGCAGAAACUCUUCAUCACAAGGUCUUCUGGUGCAGGAGGAACAAAGACUAACACUUUAGAAAGACACUUGCUUUAGUGUGACAUAAAACCAUAAAUUAAGCUUUAAUUUGGCAACUGCUUUUCAAAGAAGAGCUUCAUAAAUCAUCACGCAUCCUUAUCAUCCUGUGCUUUAAUUUUUAAUGGCACACAUAAUGAAAUCAACAAAACAAAUGUGGUAAGAGAAGGCACAGAAAUCAGAUGAGAAUAUGGGAAAAAAGGAAGGCACUCAUGAGCGAUCCAUGUAUACUGUGCAGGAAGGUAGCGGGGAGGGAGGGAGGGAGGACUUGGAAGGCAGAAAGAAACUAAAAACCUCCUGAUGUGAGCAGUGGAAUCACAUGCAUUUUGAUAAAAGGGUCACAUGUUAAAAUGUGAUUUUAAGAUUAAUCUGCUAGAACAAUGCAAUAUUAUUGUUUCUUUUCCAGACCACCUGAAAACUCAGAUCAAAUGGAGUAAUGAUUUGAAAUUUAGUUGACCCUUUCCUUUUGGUCUUAACACUUUCCCAAAUAGUCUUGUAUAAAGUUCAUAAACUUUUCUUUUUGAAUUUGUGCUUGUAUUUCUUUUUCUUUCCCAAAUAUUCAUAUUGAGAUUUUUACCCUGCAACCACGGGGUUAAGCAGAACACAUUAUUUUAUUUUCUUCUUCAGUGAGUGUGUCAAUUUGAACAAGACUGGCCAAAUUGCUUUCUUUCUUUCUUUUUUCUCCUAAAUCAAACUGUCUAUUCUGAAGAGGAGCACGUUGUGGUUCUAUUAAACAAAAUAACACGUUCUGCUCCGAUAUUUAACAGGGCGAAGCUCAGCCUCACCGUCUCUCUGCUUCACUGACAAGAGAGCUUACUGAGGAACAGUUUUCCCCCUUUGAGAGGUCUCGAGAGGGUCUGUCACAUUUUUUUUUUUUCUUUUUUUGUUCCCAGCGAUUUCUGUUGCUGCAAUGGGGCUUGGCUGUGAUAAAUGACAUAAGCUUGUUGUACCUUACAUGCAAAUUCAGAGAAAGAAAAAUGGGAAGUAGAAAGAGGAGAUUUCACUUUCCUUAUCUAAAAUAAUCAGCUUUACUUAAUUGAUUUGUGGGCCUUUUCUCAUGAAACAGUAAACCUAUUAGAAGAGAGACAAGAUAAUAAAUUAUGGAAAGAUCUUUGCAAAGGCUUGUCAUUGGUUAGUAAUGGUGACUGUAAGGACACAGGAUUGAUCACAUCAGGCUGGCUCUUGAUCCAUCUAGUCCAGUAGCCUGUCAUUGGCACUUGCACCAGGAGAAGUGAUUGGUCUUCACGAUGUUUCCAUUAAAAGUUGUUUAUCCCUAAACAUCCCACUAGACAAUUAAUGCUGUAACACCUAUGCAUUUGCUCAACUGCGGGUUUAUGUUUGUAAUUUCUACUACCUCCUGAGGAAAAUGACACAUUUUUUAUUGUUUGUGGGGUUUUGUCUGGCUUUACUAUACACUCAUAGAUGUUCUGAUUCUCCCUGGUAUUCUAAGCUUUAAGAAAUGGAUCAUACUUAGGAUCAUAGAGAUCAUACACAGUGGCUUAUGUCUGUAAUCCCAGUACUUUGGAGGCUGAGGUUGGCAGAUCACCUGAGGUCAGGAGUUUGAGACCAGCCUGGCCAACAUGGUGAAACCCCGUCUCUACCAAAAGUACAAAAAUUAACUGGGCAUGGUGGUGGGCACCUGUAAUCCCAGCUACUCAGGAGUCUGAGGCAGGAGAAUCUCUUGAACCUGGGAGGCGGAGGGUGCAGUGAGCAGAGAUUGUACCAUUUCACUCCAGCCUGGGUGACAGAGUGAGACUCUGUCUCAAAAAAUAAGAGAUCAC